GAAGAUCGAGGCCCGCCGGCCACCCAUGGUGGCUCUUGGUGGCGGUGAAACAGCACCCAUGGCGACGGUUGUUGGCGGUGGCAAGUGAGAAAAAUAAGGGAAAAUACGGACUGCCUUGUUUGAGAUGAAUCCAGUGACUCGUCGGCUUCAAUCCAAGCAUCGGUGACAAGGAGAAGCCCAGAAAAAGAAAGAGAAGGAAAGGAAAGGAAAGGAGGUUAUUGUGGUCCGAUGGAGCUAGCGGAGGUUUCAAGCGAUCUCUUCCCAAUGGCAACUCAAAAGAAGAAAAAUACAAAAAUCCCAAAGACCAAUGGUGAUUUCUCAAACAAUCAAGGUGGAGAUCCAAGGGAGGGGAAAGGGGAUUCUUAUAGACAGGUUUCCUAAGUUAAUCUAGACUCCUGCAGCCCCCAUUUCGAUGGAGAUAGGAGAGAAGAAGACCCCUAACUGGAGUCUUCCUCCUCAUCUCCUUCCAUGUGCCAUGC
rnacentral:lncRNA from 1 species